ensembl:lncRNA
AGAGAGGGGAACGUGAGGCGGCCUCAAAACAAGAUGGGCCGCAUAUGAUAAAAUAAGGGAGUUGAUAUCCAGCCAGUGGUCCGCGAGAGCCGCUUCGGCUUUGGGGGAAAUUGGUUUGCAAACAAAGACGUGCAUCAAAAAUACCUGGCUAUUCCAAGUGGGGGGAAUGGCUGUUUUUCUUUUCAUCGUAUCCCUUGUGUAUCUAAGUAAACUUUUCCAACUACAAUACAAGGGAAAACAAUUCAAAAGAAAAAGGAAGAUUUGUGUCUGGAUGUUGGAUUGAGCCGUCUGCCAAACAGUUUACAUUUCAAGAGUUUGUUACACUACAAGAAGGAGUUGCGUACAAACAUUGACAGCAUCUGGUCUGAUUUUUCUUUUCUCAGCAAUAACUAAUCAGUUGCGCCACUGUGAUUAAAAUCUGACCUGUUGAAGUCACGGAUGUCAUGAGUGAAUCUCAAAGAAAAGACCAGUGCAGAUGACACGGCGUAUUAUAUCCAACGUGUGAUAUCAUCAGGACAGCUCACAUAAGCCUGCAAAUCGAUGGAGGCGAUUGCAUCUAUGAAAUCCUUACAUUACCAGAUAAUCUGUGCUGACAAUCACUUCCAACCGUCCCUCUGAUCAACGCAUCCCCUCCAGCAGUCAGGCUGAUUGGUGCCGUUCACAUAGUUGUGUAAGUUUGUGCCACAACUGGAACAGUCAACACACAAACAUGAAAGCAGGAGUGUGUGACCCCCUUCAAUUAAUAGCUCUCUGUCAGUGAAGAACUCUGACAGCUGACUUCACCAAGUUCUCAUAGAAAGAACUGGAAAGAAAGAAAGAAAGAAAGGGUGAACUGUGGAAGUUAUAGAUGACCUCAAAACAAAAGGCAAAGAAGAUUCUCACUCUGAAAGCCUG